AUUGGCGGUUGCCUGAAUUUGGAUUCAAAGUCGUCACUAACGCCUCGCCGCGCGCAACAUUCAAACGUCCCCGUUGUUCACGGUCCCUCUGGUCCCCGCUGUCCGUCCGCUGGAUUUUUAGUAAGAACAGCCAUGGAGCCGCCUUCUCUCCGGGAGCUGGACACCCUAAAGUAUGCCGAGCUGCAGAAGCUGGCCAAGGCCGCCGGCCUGAAGGCGAACAUGAAGGCUGACCGACUUCUUAGAAUUCUGAAGAAACACUUUCAUCCAGCUUUCGGCGCAGAGAACAGUAGCAGUGAUUCAGAUGGUAACUCUACCCUCCCGGAUGACAUACAAGGCACGCUGGAUGAAGAACAGGUUUCUAUAUGCCAUGUUACCCUCAGACGUGGCCGGGCUAAAAAGGAAAACCAUGCUGAUUCCAGUCCAGAGGUGGAAAACAAAGUAAAAACCAUUCAGGGAGAUGGUGCGGAGAAGGAUGCAGCGGAAACUUCUAUUUCUACAAGCUUACAACAGGACCAACCAGAUGAGCCUCAAGAGAAUAUAGUAGUCACUGCUAAGGUGGCUAAAAAGAGACGAAGUAAAGGUAAAUCCUCAUCUGGCAGAAAACUUAGCAGCAAGAUCCCGAAGAGUUCUGGGAAAUCCAAAGCUGGAUCAAAACCUUCGACUCCCAAUUUCAAGAGGUUGCACGAAGCCCACUUCAAAAAGAUGGAAUCGAUAGACAAAUACUUGGAGAGAAAGCAGAAGCGUCUGGAUGCAAUAACCACCUCCAUCCAAGAAGUGAAGAUGCUGACUGAGGGCUCCGAGCAGCUUUCACUGAAAAAGACACCAGGCAGCAACUCUAAGAAAUCUUUGCCGAAUAGAUUCUCUUUACUAAGUCCAAAACCACAGACGAGUUACCUAUCGGCAAAAACGCCGGCAAACCAAAGGUCUGCAGGCAAGAGGAGUAUACUGGUUGACAAAUCUGGUGUUAAACCGUCUACAUUUUCAUCAUCUAAAAUGAACGUGAGGUUUUCUGGAGCCACAAAGGACAAUGAGCACAAGUACUCCUUGGUAAAGACACCCGCCAGGAAAUCCUCUACUUUUCUACCCAACGCAGACAACAGUGAAGCAAGAAAAAGUUUACCACUGGCUAAAAAGAAACCCGCGCAGGGUACUGAAGAAACCAACACUCCAGCAGCUGUUACACCUUUCAAAUUUACGGCUGAAAACGUGACAACUCCAAAUACGAACAAAAAGAUGAAAUUCGACCUCCAGGCAAGCUUGUCACGUCCACUUGGAUAUCAACCAUAUAAGGGCAAACUUAAGCCAUGGGGAGAAACUAAAGAGAAUAAAGAUGCAGCACAGAACAGGUCAUCCAUGCUGAAGAAUAACUACAAGCAGCCUCCCGCUUCAACCAGACAGGAACCAUAGAAUAGGAAGCCAUUUUGUAGAAAACUUGCAGAGAACACAUGUGGAAAGCUUAGUGUGAACUGAACCUUUACUGCAGUCAUGAGAGGGGGAGGGAUCCUGCAGCAGCUAAUUGCCUUACAGCUAAAGAGACGAGCGGCGUAAACAGCAUGAGAAGGACCGAAAGAACCAGAGAGACAAAACGCUUGGGUCCAGGAGAGGAGUCGCCGUCCUUUAGAGAAUUUAAUACGUUUUUUUUUUAGGACCAAUUUUGUUGUCAUCCUCUACUUCUGUAAAAUGAGGGAAUUUUUUUUUAUUUUCUGUAUUUUAAUGUUCUUGCUUAAGCAGCUUUACAAAGUUGGACAUUCUAUACCGCCACUUGUUUUUUUUAAGAUUGACAAAUAAUGGUUAUGUAAAUAUAUUGAUGGCAGCUAAUGUUAAAAUAAUUCAACCUUUUAGAUAGCUCCUGCUUAGAGAUGAGCGAACUUACAGUAAAUUUGAUU